CCCUUGUUGCAGACUUAAGUUUCUAGAUCUUAGAGAUUAAAUUCGGGUCUUAUGUUGCCAAGAUCGUAAUUCCACUUCAUCAGAUUUGGGCCUGUUUCGAGUUCAACGACUGAUGGAAUUACGAAAGUUACGAUUUUACGACACUAAAAAAAUUGAAGAAAAGAAAUCACAGGUCUACGAAGAAAAGAGAGGAAGUAUACGAAAUAAAAAUGACUUAACUCGAUGAAAAUUGCUUGUUAAGCAUAACUAUAGAUUGGAACUGUUUUAAUACGCUGGAAGAAUCGCUGCCUCUUUCUUUGAAGCACUUUGCAUAAAAAAUGAAGCCUCUGGUGAAAGGGGCCGUUCAUUUCACGAAAUCUCUUCAAAGCGGCGCGGCAACAAGAAACAAGGUCUCAAGGGAUAUGACCGAUCGUAGUACUUCAUCGUUUGCUAGCCACUUCAGAAUGCGAUCUCACCGCAGCCAAAGUGGAAAAUGAACGUGUCACGACGCGGAUUGUUACUCGGGAUCGACCUAUUAUUAAACUGCUAAUAGCUUGUAGAUGACGCGUACAAUCUGUAACAAUUAGUUCUGACGCGAGCGAAACUUCAUUAAAUACGUUCGAAUUACACGUUUUUAAUGGGAAUAAAUCGAGAUACUCUCAAAUGAGAUAUUUUAUUUGAGAUAUUUUAAUGAGAUAUUUAUGAGAAAUUUUCAUCUUAUCCUAAAGCUUCGGGAUAUUAAAUGAUACUAAAUAUUACUCCAAUUAUACUCGUUAAAACAAAUAAUUAAAAGAGAAGUAAUAUUCUCACGUUUCGUUUCAUGCUCUAAAUUUUCUUUAAUCGAUACCGUCGAGUCAUUAAAAGAAUCUUGUUGCAAAAUAUCGUGGUGUUUAAAAAUCAACAUUCCUUUUAUAUAUAACCAGUCUUCUCUUCGAGCGUAAAAAUAUAAAACUUUCCUUCGAACACGAACUUCUCUUAUUCAGAGUCUCCCAAUUAGCGGCAGUAAGUUGUCACUCGAUUAAAUCGUCACUCGACUUUUUGUUAAAUAAGAAGAAUCUCGUAGAUCUUGGUCAAUUGGCACUCUGGUGGUGAAGCAAAGUUUCUUCCCUCGACUCAAGAUCCCAGUUGGUAUUUUUUCGUUCCCUCCAAUCGAUCUGCGGGUUUUCGAGUUCAUUGCUCAAGGCCACGCGCAGUCAAAAAGAGCAAGGGCUAUUGUGCGAAAGAUAAGGGAUCGUGGUAACAAGCAGGUCGAAGGAAUACGCGAGAAAGACUGCUAGAAAGCGGAAGAGGAAGAGAAAGAAAGAUGAACGUAUACGAUUCUAACCGCGGCUAGGGGAAAUUUAGAGGGGUUACGCCCGUACUUCUGCGUGGAUAAGUAGCGUUGGCAUCAAGAGGCUCGCACAACUUUUCUACAUAUCCGUAUAGCAUGUUCGUGUAUGCGUGUCUUUUUUUCGUGUACGAGUCUAAGGGUGGUCUGCAACUGAUGGCACAAUUAGUACUAUGCAACAGAGGGAAAUGAAAAAUAUGGCAGAAAAUUUGUUGAAAGCUCGGAAGUUCUGUUACAUUUGCUGCAAUCGCAGAGUUUAGAUUUAACAGGUUAAUUCUUGUAUUUCCAAUUAUCUUGGAGCUAAUUUUAACGGGUUAAUUUUCGUCUUCGUUUGAUAAAUUUUACCAUACGUUACACGCCCUAGCAAUGCCUGUAUAUUAAUUAAUUAGAUUACUUAAAAAGUGAAU